UUCUUUUAUACUCUCUCUCUCCCAGGUAAGAAUUCUUGCAUCGAAUAUGUUUUAUUUUAUUUUUAUUUUAAGUAAAUAUGUAUUAUUUACUUUAUAUGUGUUUUGAAUCAAUUCUCCUAUCCUGGAUCCCAGCACUACUUACUCAUGUGCCACAUUCCGAAGUUAAUAUUUUGAACAGUAUAAUAAGUUUUCGGUCAUUUCCUGACAGCAGAAUUUCAACUGUUGGAGAAACAAGUAAAACUUUUCCUGGUGUCAGACUGACGACUUACCUACAUACGUUGCAGGAUCCUUACAUUAGCUAA
rnacentral:lncRNA from 1 species